AGUGAACGCUGGCGGUAGGCCUAACACAUGCAAGUCGAACGGCAGCACAGUAAGACCUUGCUCUUACGGGUGGCGAGUGGCGGACGGGUGAGGAAUACAUCGGAAUCUACUUUUUCGUGGGGGAUAACGUAGGGAAACUUACGCUAAUCCCGCAUACGACCUACGGGGGAAAGCAGGGGACCUUCGGCCCUGGCGCGAUUGAAUGAGCGAUUGUCGGAUUGGCUAGUUGGCGGGGUAAAGGCCCACCAAGGCGAAGAUCCGUAGCUGGUCUGAGAGGAUGAUCAGCCACACUGGAACUGAGACACGGUCCAGACUCCUAAGGGAGGCAGCCGUGGGGAAUAUUUGACAAUGGGCGCAAGCCUGAUCCAGCCAUACCGCGUGGGUGAAGAAGGCCUUCGGGUUGUAAAGCCCUUUUGUUGGGAAAGAAAAGCAGCAGGUUAAUACCCCGCUGUUCUGACGGUACCCAAAGAAUAAGCACCGGCUAACUUCGUG
rnacentral:rRNA from 1 species